AACUAUCAGACCUCUGUCUUUUACUAGGCAUUGGACUGGAUUUGGACUUUACCGUCUCCUUUUAUUAGGAACGGUUGGUCUUAAAAGCAUUAGCUGACCCUCGAUUUGUGGGAUUGGUUCUACUUGACGUGAUAAUUACUUAUGACCGUCAAGGACAUUUGCUUAACUGCGAAUGGCCAGUUCUACCUUGGAUCGCUUCUAGUCGCACCUUGUUGUGCAAUUUUCAA
rnacentral:misc_RNA from 1 species